GAUGAAGAACGCAGCGAAAUGCGAUAACUAGUGUGAAUUGCAGAUUUCAGUGAAUCAUCGAAUCUUUGAACGCACAUUGCGCCCCUUGGUAUUCCAUGGGGCAUGCCUGUUCGAGCGUCAUUUGUACCUUCAAGCUUUGCUUGGUGUUGGGUGUUUGUCCCGAGGGACUCGCCUUAAAGUAAUUGGCAGCCAGUGUUUGGUUUUGAAGCGCAGCACAAGUCGCGAUUCAAGGCUACACGCCCGCUUCCACAAGCCUUUUUUCACUUUUGACCUCGGAUCAGGUAGGGAUACCCGCUGAACUUAAGCAUAUCAAUAAGCGGAGGA
rnacentral:misc_RNA from 1 species